CCUACGGGUGGCAGCAGUGAGGAAUAUUGGUCAAUGGACGAGAGUCUGAACCAGCCAAGUAGCGUGAAGGAUGAAUGCCCUAUGGGUUGUAAACUUCUUUUAUAUGGGAAUAAAAUGUUACACGUGUGGGAUUUUGUAUGUACCAUAUGAAUAAGGAUCGGAUAACUCCGUGCCAGCAGCCGCGGUAAUACGGAGGAUCCGAGCGUUAUGCGGAUUUAUUGGGUUUAAAGGGAGCGUAGGUGGAUUGUUAAGUCAGUUGUGAAAGUUUGCGGCUCAACCGUAAAAUUGCAGUUGAAACUGGCAGUCUUGAGUACAGUAGAGGUGGGCGGAAUUCGUGGUGUAGCGGUGAAAUGCUUAGAUAUCACGAAGAACUCCGAUUGCGAAGGCAGUUCACUGGACUGCAACUGACACUGAGGCUCGAAAGUGUGGGUAUCAAACAGGAUUAGAUACCCCUGUAGUC
rnacentral:rRNA from 1 species